rnacentral:rRNA from 1 species
CAGGCUUAUUAAUCUUGAAUGAAGCAAACUUAAGUGGCUUGUAAAAACUUUAGCUCGACUCACAUGAAGACAAGACCCUGUAGAGCUGCUGACUAAUUAGCUAUCACUUAUUUAAGAUAUGAGCUAGGCUAUCAACUAGUGUACUGGGGCGGUAUUACAACACUUCUAUACUGCAUUCAUAUGCGACAUUAUGACGAUCUAGCCUUAGUGAAAGAAUAGUUACCUCAGGGUUAACAGCGUAAUAAAUUUAAAGAGCCCUAAUCGAAAAAUAUGCUUGCGACCUCGAUGUUGAAUUAAAGGAGCUGCUCAGCGUAGUCGUUGAUUAAGUUGGUUUGUUCAACCAUUAAACCUUUACAUGAUCUGAGUUCAA